rnacentral:rRNA from 1 species
UGCUGGUGUUAUAUUAAGAUCUGGUACUGAUCUCGGAAGUUAAGCAGGGUCGGGCCUGGUUAGUACUUGGAUGGGAGACCACCUAGGAAGACCAGAUGCAGUAGGUG